rnacentral:rRNA from 1 species
CAGUCGCCACGGUAAUACGAAGGGUGCAAGCGUUACUCGGAAUUACUGGGCGUAAAGCGUUCGUAGGUGGUGGUUUAAGUCCGUUGUGAAAGCCCUGGGCUCAACCUGGGAAUUGCAGUGGAUACUGGGUCACUAGAGUGUGGUAGAGGAUAGUGGAAUUUCCGGUGUAGCAGUGAAAUGCGUAGAGAUCGGAAGGAACAUCUGUGGCGAAGGCGACUAUCUGGGCCAACACUGACACUGAGGCACGAAAGCGUGGGGAGCAAACAGGAUUAGAUACCCCGUAGUCCCUGUCUCUUAUACA